CCAAGGUUCCUUGACGUCUCAGUAACCAACAAAGUAACAGCACAAACUGGUUAUAGUCACCCGUCCAUUUAGAGAUGGAACAUAUGUGACACUACAAGGACUGAACAAGUAAUCUAACCCUACCUUUUGAGAAAACUCCAUUCCUCCAGUCGAUCCUAAUAUAUAAGAAAGUAAGUUUGCUUACAAUGUCAACAGGUUAAUGCCACACCCAAUAUUGUCUAGCCCAGGGUUCAAUAGGCAUCUCAGUAAACCAACGAAGAAACAAU
rnacentral:lncRNA from 1 species